CAAUUACAGUGGAUGUUUUAUAUACUGUAUGCAACCCUGUUGGCAAAGUGCAACGUAUUGUUAUAUUCAAGAGAAAUGGGAUACAAGCAAUGCUUAUGUUUGAAUCAGUCCUUUGUGCCCAGAAAGCUAAAGCAGCACUCAAUGGAGCUGAUAUAUAUGCUGGAUGUUGCACACUAAAAAUUGAAUAUGCACGGCCAACUCGUCUAAAUGUUAUUAGGAAUGACAAUGACAGUUGGGACUACACUAAACCAUAUUUGGGAAGACGAGAUAGAGGAAAGGGUCGCCAGAGACAAGCCAUUUUGGGAGAACACCCUUCUUCGUUUAGACAUGAUGGCUAUGGAUCCCAUGGUCCAUUAUUGCCUUUACCAAGUCGUUACAGAAUGGGCUCUCGAGAUACACCUGAACUUGUUGCUUAUCCAUUACCACAGGCUUCUUCCUCUUACAUGCAUGGAGGAAAUCCCUCUGGUUCAGUUGUAAUGGUUAGUGGAUUACAUCAACUAAAAAUGAAUUGUUCAAGAGUCUUCAACCUGUUCUGCUUAUAUGGAAAUAUUGAGAAGGUAAAAUUUAUGAAGACCAUUCCUGGUACAGCACUGGUAGAAAUGGGUGAUGAGUAUGCUGUAGAAAGAGCUGUCACACACCUUAAUAAUGUCAAAUUAUUUGGGAAAAGACUUAAUGUUUGCGUGUCUAAACAACAUUCAGUUGUUCCAAGUCAAAUAUUUGAGCUGGAGGAUGGUACCAGCAGCUACAAAGAUUUUGCAAUGAGCAAAAAUAAUCGCUUUACAAGUGCUGGCCAAGCAUCUAAGAAUAUAAUCCAGCCACCCUCCUGUGUUUUGCAUUAUUAUAAUGUUCCAUUGUGUGUCACAGAAGAGACCUUCACAAAGUUGUGUAAUGACCAUGAAGUUCUUACAUUCAUCAAAUAUAAAGUGUUUGAUGCAAAACCUUCAGCCAAAACACUUUCUGGGCUAUUAGAAUGGGAGUGCAAAACUGAUGCAGUAGAAGCCCUUACGGCACUGAAUCACUAUCAGAUAAGAGUGCCGAAUGGUUCCAAUCCCUAUACAUUGAAGCUUUGCUUUUCUACAUCAUCCCAUUUAUAAGAAGAGAAGAGCAUGUUAGAAUUUAUGUUCACCUUUAUUACAAUUUCAAAGCUACACUUCAUUAAAAAAAAAUCUAAAAUGGUUGAUCUCAUGUUGCCUUGCUUACUUUAAGAUCCUGUUCUGUAAUAAACAUAUUUUGCCUUGAGUAAAUUUGUUGUAAGCUUAAAUAUUGAAUUGUUUUCAUUUUAAGAUAGAAUAUCAUAAUGUAGACUAUCUACAGCUUCAUUGUAGAUUAUACAGAUAUAUGAUUUCUAACCUUAUUACUGGAAUUUUUCUUCCACAGUAAAAAUAUAUUUGCAUUCUUAAUGCUAAUUAUCUGCAAGUAUUUUUUCAUUGUGUAAGAGAUUAAUGCAGGUGAAAGUAUUGCAUUUUAAUAUAGAAUUCCUAUUAUAUGUUUAGAUGUUUAAGUAUGUUGCAGUUACUCAUAUUAAACAUAACUUGUAUAUUUAUUAUUUUAAUGAAGUUUGAGAAUAACGUUACAUAUGUUGAAUUUUAAGUACUACAGAUUUAACUGAUUUUAUAUUUCUGAAAGGCUAACAGACAUGGAUACACGUGUACAGUAUGCAUUCAAACUUAUUUAAAUUGGUGUAUUUUUUUUUAAGUCACUGUCCAUUUGUAUUGACAUGCCUCUGUUUCUAGUCCAGUUUGGAGAUUUUAUAAAGUU
rnacentral:lncRNA from 1 species